rnacentral:rRNA from 1 species
UACGGAGGGGGCUAGCGUUAUUCGGAAUUACUGGGCGUAAAGCGUACGUAGGCGGUUAUUCAAGUCAGAGGUGAAAGCCUGGAGCUCAACUCCAGAACUGCCUUUGAAACUGGAUAGCUUGAAUCAUGGAGAGGUUAGUGGAAUUCCGAGUGUAGAGGUGAAAUUCGUAGAUAUUCGGAAGAACACCAGUGGCGAAGGCGACUAACUGGACAUGCAUUGACGCUGAGGUACGAAAGCGUGGGGAGCAAACAGG